ACUCCUACGGGAGGCAGCAGUAGGGAAUCUUCGGCAAUGGGGGCAACCCUGACCGAGCAACGCCGCGUGAGUGAAGAAGGUUUUCGGAUCGUAAAGCUCUGUUGUAAGUCAAGAACGAGUGUGAGAGUGGAAAGUUCACACUGUGACGGUAGCUUACCAGAAAGGGACGGCUAACUACGUGCCAGCAGCCGCGGUAAUAC
rnacentral:rRNA from 1 species